rnacentral:lncRNA from 10 species
AUGGUGACACCAGGCCAGCUGGGGAUUCUUCCCAGGCUGGGCUCACAGGCUGGGGCUGGGCACACGGAGCAGCUGCGGGAAAAGGAUCUGGACACCAGCCCCCCAGCGUGUCACCGGCAGGAAGGUGAGGUGGGAACAGAGUGACGUCCAUGCAUGUUCAGGACUAAGCCAGUGGAUCACAAACAUCCUGGAGAGCAGUGACUCUGUGAUUCCAUCACAAGAAUAUGAAGGACUGAGAAGAUCUCCAGCUCUGCCCAUUGCACCUUCCCAUUGAGAAGCAGCAUGGCACCCUGGUGGCAGGGGCUGAUACUCAGCCGGGCCAGGGUGCUCUCCUGUUAACCAUAACCAAGCUCACAGGACAUGGGAUGAGCCCACUGUGUGACACAGGGAGCGGGACACAGUCUGUUAAGUCUUGCACAGCCAUGCUCUGCCACGCAGGCAGGCCUUUCCUUGGCCUCCCUCUCCCUGUUCGUGCUCAUGUGAACAUCCACCUACGUGGAUAGACUGGGCUUUGGUUCAUUAUUGCUCUGUGAAUUCCUCGAACUUCCGCAUCUGCCCAACCUCCCCCACCCCAUUGUUUUCAUUGUGUUUCACCAAAUGGAAAUUCUAGAGUAAGCAUGUGAGUCCUCUCCCAAACUUGUUCACUGUUGAGAGUGCUAAAAUGCUAACCCCAGAUGCUAACUGAGGGGUAGGGUUACCUUAUCUUUAGAGCACUGCGAAUUGUAUGUUAAGUGGAACUUAAUGAAAAAAUAGUUAAUUGACCAACAUGAAUAUCCCCUGAACAGAAUCUCCCCUGAACAGAAUCCUACAAUGAAACUAAGGGAGAUAAAUAAAGCUGUUUACCUGAAAGCUCUCUCUAAUCAAGAUCCUUUGAAAUUUAUAAAACAUGGUCAAUAUUUGCACUGGACUUUGUAAAAAUAAAGCUUGAUAAGAGAA